rnacentral:lncRNA from 1 species
GGCCGUGGGAGGCGGGGCCGGACAGCAGCGCAGGCGGGGCGUGGGGCGGGGCAGCAGGGCCCGAGGCGUGGCCGCACAGCCACCAGCCGGGCAGGGACAGCAGAGGACGAGGACAAGGAGGAGGAGCAGGUGUCGGGCGGUGCGCCCGCCGCCCGCCGGGAGCGGGCCCCGGGCCGCCCUAGAAGCCCGGCUGGCGACCGUUCCCGGCGCACCACUUCUGAGUUGGCUGUACGAAACUUUUCCCUGCGCCAUUAGGUGCCCCAACCCGGAGCCCGCGCCCCGCCCACGCUCGCCCCCGCCGGGACCACAGCCCUUGGGGAGCUCGGCAGGCGAAAGGCCCGCCGCUACUACCCCCGCCGCCCGUCGGGGCGCGGCCGGGUGCGGCGGCGGGGCUGGGGCCCCGGGCGAUGGCCGCGGAGCUGGCGAUGGGCGCUGAGCUGCCAAGCAGCCCACUGGCCAUCGAGUACGUCAACGACUUCGACCUGAUGAAGUUCGAGGUGAAGAAGGAGCCGCCUGAGGCCGAGCGCUUCUGCCACCGCCUGCCACCCGGCUCGCUCUCCUCGACGCCGCUCAGCACGCCCUGCUCCUCCGUUCCCUCCUCGCCCAGCUUCUGUGCGCCCAGCCCCGGCACCAGCGGCGGCGGCGGAGCGGGGGGCGGCGGCGGCGCAGCACAGGCCGGCGGUGCCCCGGGGCCUCCAAGCGGAGGCCCAGGCGCCGUCGGGGGCGCCUCUGGAAAGCCGGCGCUGGAGGAUCUGUACUGGAUGAGUGGCUACCAGCACCACCUCAACCCGGAGGCGCUCAACUUGACGCCCGAGGACGCGGUGGAGGCACUCAUUGGCAGUGGUCACCACGCCGGGCACCAUGGGGCACAUCACCCGGCCGCCGCGGCCUACGAGGCCUUCCGGGGCCAGGGCUUCGCGGGCAGCGGCGGCGCGGACGACAUGGGCGCAGGCCACCACCACGGCGCACACCACACUGCCCACCACCACCACGCCGCCCACCACCAUCACCACCACCACCACCACAGCGGCACAGGCCACCACGGCGGCGCAGGCCAUGGCGGCGGCGGCGGCGCGGGCCACCACGUGCGCCUGGAGGAGCGCUUCUCCGACGACCAGCUGGUGUCUAUGUCGGUACGCGAGCUGAACCGGCAGCUCCGGGGCUUCAGCAAGGAGGAGGUCAUCCGGCUGAAGCAGAAGCGGCGCACACUAAAGAACCGCGGCUACGCACAGUCGUGCCGCUUCAAGCGGGUGCAGCAGCGGCACAUUCUGGAGAGCGAGAAGUGCCAGCUCCAGAGCCAGGUGGAGCAGCUGAAGCUGGAGGUGGGGCGCCUGGCCAAGGAGCGGGACCUGUACAAGGAGAAAUACGAGAAGCUGGCGGGCCGGGGCGGCCCCGGGGGCGCGGGCGGGGCCGGUUUCCCGCGAGAGCCCUCGCCGGCGCAGCCCGGCCCCGGCGGGGCCAAGGGUGCACCGCCCGACUUCUUCCUGUGAGCGCCGGACCCCGGGCCCGCACCGCCACCGGGGACAAGUUCGCGCAGGCAGCCGAGGCCUCGGCUCGGACUCAAUGGCUCCGGGCGCGCGCCAGGGGCCAGUGCAGCCACAUACGCGGUGGUCAGCCUGCGCUGGGACCGGCGCGCCUCUCCGCGAAGCCCGCGGUGCCGGGUGGAGGCCCGCCUCUCCGCCUGCGCCCUCCUGCUCCGCGCGGUCUUGGGGUCGUCGUCCUGACGUUGCCGCGAUCCCGCCGCACGCGGAGGACGGCGAUGUCCAGGGAAGCCCGGGCCAGGUCUGACUUCCUCGCAAGCGUCCACUUGUACAUAUGUCGAGCGCGGCUCUCGGUUUCGACCUUCGGCCGUCCGCCCGCUGGGGGCCGCGCGGCGGUGUCCUCUCGGGCAGCCUCUUCUUGCCCCGCGCGCCGCCUGUUUUCUGCCCCCCCUCUCCUUGCCCUUUUUCACUCUUCCUCCGUUUUAAACCGGUCUUGUUUUCGAAGCAUUUAUUUAUUUUGCUUGGUGAUUGGAAAAGAAAACCCAGAAGAAGCCCCCUCCUUUCCCAGCCGGUGUUCCCUCGCGGUCCGCGAGUCCCCGCAUGCGUCGCUCGCUCGCUCGGGGGCCGGUUCCCUGCCUGCCCGGCUGCCCGCUUGUCCCCCACCCCGCCGGCCUUCCCUGGAGACCGAAGCCGAGGGACGCCGGCGCCGCGUUCGGUCCUGCUGCCCGGCUGUACUCGACGGGGGGGAGGGGGGUGGGGUCCCGUGCUCAGCCGGGUGGGGGCUGGCCCGGACUCCCGCGCUGCUACAUCUCUAUGCACCAGAUCGUAUUUAUGAUUCCUGGGGAAAUAUAUCUUAUUUUAACUCUCAAGAGAAGUGAAAGAAAAUAAAGUAAUGCACAGUAUUUCUCAAAGAAAGAAUUUAAAGAGGAGGGUUAGGCCUGAACCUCCUGGCAUGGUCGGGUAGAGAAAGUGUUUUAAUUUAAAUUGUGUUUCGUUGUUUGUGGAAUCUUUUUAAAAAGCUUGUCCGCCUUUUGGACUGUCCCGGAGAGAGAACGGGAGGCGGCAGCUCUAAGCUGGUGGAAGCUCCCGCGGUCAGGUCAGGGGACCUGCUUCUCCCAGGCCCACGGUGGGGACUCCAGCCACACUGCACCCUCCACGGCUCCUGCUGGGCCUUUGGGCAGUAGCCACUCGUCAAAAGUUUUGUUGCGUUGCUGCUUUUUGGUUUUGUUUUUGUUUUCAUUUGCUACGAAACUGAGGAAAGAACACACACAAACAAUAAAUCCGUUUAGAUCCAAAGUCUCAGGAGCCUGGCUGUUUUAUUUGUGGC